UAGGGCGUAACCGAAAACCCUUGAUCAGAGUAGGCA
rfam:Sphingobacterium sp. 21, complete genome.